rnacentral:rRNA from 1 species
UCUGGUGACAAUGGCAAAGAGGUCACACCUGUUCCCAUGCCGAACACAGAAGUUAAGCUCUUUAGCGCCGAUGGUAGUAGGACUUACGUUCCGCGAGAGUAGGACGUUGCCAGGC